rnacentral:rRNA from 1 species
UGAGGAAUAUUGGUCAAUGGGCGGAAGCCUGAACCAGCCAAGUAGCGUGCAGGAUGACGGCCCUAUGGGUUGUAAACUGCUUUUGAAGGGGAGUAAAGUGAGUGACUUGUCAUUCAUUGCAAGUACCCUUGGAAUAAGGACCGGCUAAUUCCGUGCCAGCAGCCGCGGUAAUACGGAAGGUCCGGGCGUUAUCCGGAUUUAUUGGGUUUAAAGGGAGCGUAGGCUGCCCGGCAAGCGUGCUGUGAAAUACAGUGGCCCAACCACUGGACUGCAGCGCGAACUGUCGGGCUUGAGGGCGCACGACGCAGGCGGAAUUUGUGGUGUAGCGGUGAAAUGCUUAGAUAUCACGAAGAACCCCGAUUGCGAAGGCAGCUUGCGGGAGCGCGACUGACGCUGAAGC